rnacentral:rRNA from 1 species
GACGAACGCUGGCGGCGUGCUUAACACAUGCAAGUCGAACGGAAAGGCCCCAGCUUGCUGGGGUACUCGAGUGGCGAACGGGUGAGUAACACGUGGGUGAUCUGCCCUGCACUCUGGGAUAAGCCUGGGAAACUGGGUCUAAUACCGGAUAGGACCGUGCUUUAGUGUGUGCGGUGGAAAGUUUUUCGGUGCAGGAUGAGCCCGCGGCCUAUCAGCUUGUUGGUGGGGUAAUGGCCUACCAAGGCGGCGACGGGUAGCCGGCCUGAGAGGGUGUACGGCCACAUUGGGACUGAGACACGGCCCAGACUCCUACGGGAGGCAGCAGCGGGGAAUAUUGCACAAUGGGCGCAAGCCUGAUGCAGCGACGCCGCGUGGGGGAUGACGGCCUUCGGGUUGUAAACCCCUUUCGGCAGGGACGAAGCUUUUGUGACGGUACCUGCAUAAGAAGCACCGGCUAACUACGUG